rnacentral:rRNA from 1 species
ACCCCACUGCUAUCGGGAUAGGACUAAGACAUGCUAGUCGUGCGCUUCCUAGCCAAAAUGGGAGCGCGGCACACAGCUCAGUAACACGUGGCUAACCUGCCCUUGGGACGAAAACACCCCCGGGAAACUGGGGCUAAUUUUCGAUAGGCAAAGAACUCUGGAAUGAGUCUUUACUUAAAAGAUGCCAAAGUUAUGCUCUUUGGCUUCGCCCAAGGAUGGGGCCGCGACCGAUCAGGUUGUUGGUGAGGUAAUGGCUCACCAAGCCUUUUACCGGUGCGGGCCGUGGGAGCGGGAGCCCGGAGAUGGGCACUGAGACAAGGGCCCAGGCCCUACGGGGCGCAGCAGUCGCGAAAACUUUGCAAUAAGCGAAAGCUUGACAGGGCUAUCCCGAGUGCCAUCCGCUGAGGAAGGCUUUUACCCAGUCUAGAACGCUGGGGGAAUAAGGAGAGGGCAAGUCUGGUGUCAGCCGCCGCGGUAAUACCAGCUCUCCGAGUGGUGUGGAUGUUUAUUGGGCCUAAAGCAUCCGUAGCUGGCUAAGUUAGUCCCCUGUUAAAUCCACCGAAUUAAUCGUUGGAUCGCGGGGGAUACUGCUUAGCUAGGGGACGAGAGAGGCAGACGGUAUUUCCGGGGUAGGGGUGAAAUCCUAUAAUCCCGGGAAGACCACCAGUGGCGAAAGCUGUCUGCUAGAACGCGCCCGACGGUGAGGGAUGAAAGCUGGGGGAGCGAACCGGAUUAGAUACCCGGGUAGUCCCAGCUGUAAACGAUGCAGCUAGUGUUUGGACGGCCACGUGCCGUUCUAGUGCCGCAGGGAAGCUGUUAAGCCUGCGCCUGGGGAGUACGAUCGCAAGAUUGAAACUUAA